CUCAAAUCACGCGCGGCUGGCCGCCAAUCACCAAUCACCAGCUACCAAUCACCUGCCUACACCUGCUCUAUAAAGAGUAGUCUAACAUAUGUCUUUGCUGCUCAUGUCUUCGUUCGACGCAUGCUGCUGCUUUACUGUCCUUGUGAUUAUCUCGCAUAUCUUGUCGCUUAGUUGCUACGUCGGUUAAUACACACCAAGAGGUCAUAACUUUGGAUUCGUGCUGGUCGGCCUACUACUUCUGGUCCGGGCAAGUGAGCGCAGAAAGCCGUUAAUUUCGGUCCCCGGUAUCCUGAACAACACCACCAAGAAGUUCCCAACACGGACAUCCGCCUGGUUCUACAAACCCUCGCAGAGUUGGUGCAAAGCAUUUGGCGCCAGGAUGGACGCCGUCGAAACACCAUGCGGAACUCCCAGACGGGUCCAGGCCCCCAACCCGCUGUCGUCAGUCGCCACGGCGCCUUUCUACUUCCAGCAACCAUCAGGCUCGGCUUCCUCCGCCUUCACAGGCUACGCACCUGAUUUGCUGUGGCCCCCAUUGGCCACCCCUGGAAUAAUCUUCUGGAGGCGCCACUGUCUACACUGGCCACUCCUCCCGGAUUGGAGCGGCAACCACAGCCGCUGAACAAGGGUUGCCGGUCGCGUCUAUCAAACGGCUGGGAAGGCGGUCUUCCACAGCUUACGAAUCCUACAUCCGGUUGAAUUCAUGGUUCUUCCUCCAAGCGCACACGAUGCUCUAACGUCGGUUAAGGCAGGUUUAUCACGUAUGCUACUACAGUUGUUUUUGGUGGCCUGUUUCCAUUCUAGUUUUAGUCUUGGUGUCAAGGUGUCAUUUUUGUUUUUAUUAGUUUAGUCACGUUCAUACUCUUUCCAGUGAUAUCGAAAUUCCGUUUAGGUAUUAUCAAAGAUACAAGUGCGUAGAUUUGUUAAAUAAGGUAAACGGUCGAAAAUUGAUGUCGUUAUGUCUCAACAGUUGAAGUUCCAGUUGGACAAAAUAACGUAUUACAGUUUAUCGCCUAGUUUAGGUCAACGGAAAUGAAGACAUUUUAGUAAAACACUUUCAGUCUCGUUUGUAUUCGCCAACAACAUUGCACUAUGUAUUUAAUUAUAGUUAUUGUCAUAUGACCAGCAUUGUUCUCCUCACGCGAUAAAGGUUUGUUGAUGACGACAUUUAGUCAUAAUUUUCGGUGUCAAAAGCAACACUAUUUGCAACUACUGGUGGUGGUGGUGGUUGGUACUAAACUCAUAAAGCAAAAUUUGGCUAUAUAACUCAAGGUUAACCUGCAGCAACCCCGGCAAGUUUGACCACGUCGGUGGAUCAUCUAGAAAACACUCUUGAGUUCGGUGUCAUGUUGGUGGCAUAUCAUGGAAAAAAUAAAACUCAAGGUUCGCAGCGGCGACCCCGGUGAGUGCGUUGGCCAAAGCGUAGCGGUAACAACUCGGGCACUCGUAACUAUGACCACGUCGGUGGCACGUUAUCUAUUACUCAUGGUUGACUGCAGUAACCCCGGUGAGUGCGUUGACCAUAUCAACGCACAAUUGGGGCACAACUCAGGCACUCGUGAGUUUGUUGCACACGUCGUUGCGGUACAAUACAGUACUCAACGUCCUACAUCCGGUCGAGUUCAAGGUUCUUUCUUCAAGCGCACACGAUGCUCUCUUAACGUCGGUUAAGACAGGUUUUACACGUUUGCAACCAUAGCUGUUUUUGGCGGCCUGUUCCUUUCUAGUGUUAGUCUAGUCUUGUGUCAAGCUGUCAUUUUAGUUUUUAUUAGUUUUAGUUACAUUCAUACUCUUUCCAGUGUUAUCGUAAUUCCAUUUAGAUAUUAUCGAAGUUACAAGUGCGUAGUUUUGUUAAAAAAGGUAAACGGUUGAAAAUUGAUGUUAUGUCUGGAACAGUUGAAGUUCCAGUUGAACAAAAUAACGUUAUAAGUCUUUAUCGCCUAGUUUAGGUCAACGAAAAUGAAGAGACAUUUUAGCAGUCUUAUUUUCGUAAAACACUUUUUAGUCUUGUUUUAUUCGCCAACUAUAUUGUACUUUGCUUUUAAUCACAGCUAUUGUCACACGCCCAGCAUCCACGUUAUGUCCAGUCUCGUUUUUCUCACGCGAUAAAGGCUUGUUGAUGACGACUCUUAGUCAUAAUUUUCAUUGCCAAAAGCAACACUAUUCUGGCGGCCUGUUUCCAUUCCAGGGUUAUUCUAGUCUUAGUGUCUAGCUGUUAUUUUAGUCUAUUCGUUUUAGUUACGUCUAUAUUCUUUCUAGUGUUAUCGAAAUAUAUUGCACUAUGUAUUUAACUACAGUUAUUGUCACACGCCCAGCAUGCACGUUGCGUCCUGUUUGUUUUUUGGUUGUUUGUUUGUUUUUCUUUCUCACGCGAUAAAGGUUCGUGAUGACGAUAUUUUGUCAUUAUUUUCGUUGCUAAAAGCGACAUUAUUUGCAACUACUGGUGGUGGUGGUUAUCAGGUACUAAAUUCAUAAAGCAAAAUUCGGUUUCAUAACUCAGGUUCACCUGCAGCAACCCCGGCGAGUGUGACCACGUCGGUGGAUCAUCUAGAAAACACUCUUGAGUUCGCUGUCACGUCAGUGGCGUAAAAUAGGAAAAUAAAACUCAAGGUUGCAGCGGCCGGUGAGUGCGUGACCACGUCGGUGGCACAUCAAGGGCACUCGUGAGUAUGACCACGUCGGUGGCACGUUAUCUAGUACUCAUGGUUUGACUGCAGUAACCCCGGUGAGUGCGUUGCCCACGUCGGUGGGAACAACUCAAGCACUCCAACACCGGUGAGUGCGUGACCACGUCGGUGGCACAUCAAGGGCACUCGUGAGUUCGUUGACCACAUCGGUGUUUCAACGCGAAAGCACUCGGGUCACGCAGCGACCCCGGAGAGUGAAUCGACCACGGCAGUUGGUACAGCACGAAAGCACUCGUGGCUCGCUGCGUAACAGCUGCAGAGUGCUCUAAAUUUUAAUUGAUCUUGCUGAGGUAUUUUAAGUCGACUGCUUUUACGUGAUUCAUCGAUCUCGCUGACGGUUUUAAGCUUAUCGUUUUAUGGUAUGUAUGAUUGACUCUUAAUGUCGUAUAUUGGGUAUGCCUUUUAUCUUCCAGAAGCAGUAUAGAUCCUUGUCCACUUCUUCUACGCGGGUAUGUAUGGUCUCAUUACCCCCUUUCGCUAUUCUAUUUUUGGGGUCGGCUCCGCCCCUGCCAGUCCCGGCAGGACAUGCCGAGUUAUCUCCUACUUCUGGCGAAGGCCUACGUCCUCUCUUUUGGGGAAGGCUCCGCCCCUGCUAGUCCUGGCAGGAUACGCCGAGUCCGCACGUCACCCUGGAUCAGUGACGAGGCUCAUGCCAAAGAUUUACCAUGCAAAAUAUUCCCAUGUCGUUAUUUAAAUAAAUCCUGUUCAUACUUAUCGGUGAUCGAGUCUUUAUGGGAGAAAUGUUAAGCUUGCUGGUAGUUCUACCAGGAGGACUCAAAUCACGCGCGGCUGGCCGCCAAUCACCAGCUACCAAUCACCUGCCUACACCUGCUCUAUAAAGAGUAGUCUAACAUAUGUCUUUGCUGCUCAGGUCUUCGUUCGACGCACCUCCAUCCACCCCACCACCACCAGGUCGGCCUCAGUCUACUUGUCCAGGGGAAGGCUCCGCCCCUGCUAGUCCUGGCAGGAUACGCCGAGUCCGCACGUCACCCUGGAUCAGUGACGAGGCUCAUGCCAAAGAUUUACCAUGCAAAAUAUUCCCAUGUCGUUAUUUAAAUAAAUCCUGUUCAUACUUAUCGGUGAUCGAGUCUUUAUGGGAGAAAUAUAA
ensembl:lncRNA